UGGCGUUGCGUAGAUCGCGAUUGAGCCGGCAUGCGUGGUCGGCCGCCUGCGAAGGGAUGGUCGGGCACCAGCCAGCGAUGGGCAGGCAUGCCGUCACCGCCGAUGACGACGAACACGGCGGACAAACUUCACCUGAUGCCUGUGGCCUGCGGUAGAUGCAUAGGUGGAAACAGAGAAGGGGAAAAAAGAACGUGAGAUAGAAGCAAGCUAAAUCUAGGAGCUUGAGCUUAGUCCCCCACUCACCUGCUUGUCAAAGCUCGCCGCACGCAUACCAUAGGCUUCUAGAGAUCGGCCCGAUCGGCGGUUGCUGAGGUCGCACCACAUUCCUCCCUUCAUAGAUCGGGGAUGAAUCGGGGCCACUACACCAGAUUCAGAGGCAGAGGAACACACCUUGUUGGAUUACGCGCACAUGCCGACGUAGGAUGUCCGUCGGCUCCAACAACUAAUAUCGCGCAGCUUCCCUUGAUCCUGCUUGGCUGCCGUAUCCUUCAAUGCUAUGGAGCUCUGCGGCUUCCCGAAUCCAGCGAUGGUGGCAAGCAGGGAGAAGAGAGAGAAAGAGGAGAGGAGAAUGAGAAGGGGGCUAGGAUUAGGGGCUUCAGGCCCAUGUGGAGAGGGCUGUCUGCAAAAAUAAAACAAAGGUGCGAGGACGGACCGGACGGGCGUGUGUGCUUGCGGGCAGUUUCCAAACGAGUGGCCAACGAAGACAUGUGUACGUCGAGCGCAGGAGAGGCCACCGAGGCUUCAAACGCUGUGGUGCCUCCAAU
rnacentral:lncRNA from 1 species